GCAUCGGUGGUUUAGUGGUAAAAUUAGCCGUUGCCAAGACUUGUUCAGCGAGUCGCCAGUUUCGGCUAGCCCCGGGUUCGAUUCCCGGCCGAUGCA